GAAUUUUUAAUCUGGUAUUGAUAUUUAGGUAUGUGUUUAACUGCUGUCUGAAAAUGUGUUGCUAGCAGACAAUUUUGUUGCCUUGGUUUGAAUAGGCACUGUAGAAGCUUCACUGGGAGGAAGAUGAUCCUCUGACAACAACUUUUGGUUGGGAGCCCAUUCAGUUGCACUGCAUAAAAGUUACGUCGGGGUUAGAGUCCGUUCCUGCUUAAGGGAGGGAAAGAUAGCCACUUAUUGUGGUGGGAGCACCCUUCUGUAUUUAUAAGGUAAUUUUUUUUUAAUAACAAACAUAGAAAUGAAGGAGUCUUGGGUUGCAUCCAACAUGUUUCUUUAGACAUUUUAAAUGAUGCAAUUACAGGUUGCAUACAACCUCAAACCAUCCUAGCUUGGAUACAAAAAGGAUGUGCCACCAAAGAGUUCAAAGCAUCCUCCAUAAACAAGUCAGGUAAAGUGCUCAGCAUCUAUACUAAUCCUGAAAUUAAGAUGUAAUUUAAAAGCUGAUCCACUUUUAAACCAGAGAUUUCUGUUUUAAGUAUGCUGCAUUCAUAACUGCCUGUUGCAA
rnacentral:lncRNA from 1 species